CUCGUCACACUAUCAUUAACUGAAUCCAUAGGUUAAUGAGGCGAACCGGGGGAACUGAAACAUCUAAGUACCCCGAGGAAAAGAAAUCAACCGAGAUUCCCCCAGUAGCGGCGAGCGAACGGGGAGGAGCCCAGAGCCUGAAUCAGCAUGUGUGUUAGUGGAAGCGUCUGGAAAGGCGCGCGAUACAGGGUGACAGCCCCGUACACAAAAGCGCAUGUGCUGUGAGCUCGAUGAGUAGGGCGGGACACGUGGUAUCCUGUCUGAAUAUGGGGGGACCAUCCUCCAAGGCUAAAUACUCCUGACUGACCGAUAGUGAACCAGUACCGUGAGGGAAAGGCGAAAAGAACCCCGGCGAGGGGAGUGAAAAAGAACCUGAAACCGUGUACGUACAAGCAGUGGGAGCACCCUUUGGGUGUGACUGCGUACCUUUUGUAUAAUGGGUCAGCGACUUAUAUUCUGUAGCAAGGUUAACCGAAUAGGGGAGCCGGAGGGAAACCGAGUCUUAAUUGGGCGUUAAGUUGCAGGGUAUAGACCCGAAACCCGGUGAUCUAGCCAUGGGCAGGUUGAAGGUUGGGUAACACUAACUGGAGGACCGAACCGACUAAUGUUGAAAAAUUAGCGGAUGACCUGUGGCUGGGGGUGAAAGGCCAAUCAAACCGGGAGAUAGCUGGUUCUCCCCGAAAGCUAUUUAGGUAGCGCCUCGUGAAUUCAUCUCCGGGGGUAGAGCACUGUUUCGGCUAGGGGGCCAUCCCGGCUUACCAACCCGAUGCAAACUGCGAAUACCGGAGAAUGUUAUCACGGGAGACACACGGCGGGUGCUAACGUCCGUCGUGAAGAGGGAAACAACCCAGACCGCCAGCUAAGGUCCCAAAGUCAUGGUUAAGUGGGAAACGAUGUGGGAAGGCCCAGACAGCCAGGAUGUUGGCUUAGAAGCAGCCAUCAUUUAAAGAAAGCGUAAUAGCUCACUGGUCGAGUCGGCCUGCGCGGAAGAUGUAACGGGGCUAAACCAUGCACCGAAGCUGCGGCAGCGACACUGUGUGUUGUUGGGUAGGGGAGCGUUCUGUAAGCCUGUGAAGGUGUGUCGUGAGGCAUGCUGGAGGUAUCAGAAGUGCGAAUGCUGACAUAAGUAACGAUAAAGCGGGUGAAAAGCCCGCUCGCCGGAAGACCAAGGGUUCCUGUCCAACGUUAAUCGGGGCAGGGUGAGUCGACCCCUAAGGCGAGGCCGAAAGGCGUAGUCGAUGGGAAACGGGUUAAUAUUCCCGUACUUGGUGUUACUGCGAAGGGGGGACGGAGAAGGCUAUGUUGGCCGGGCGACGGUUGUCCCGGUUUAAGCGUGUAGGUGUGUGUUCCAGGUAAAUCCGGUUCACUUUAACACUGAGGCGUGACGACGAGGCACUACGGUGCUGAAGCAACAAAUGCCCUGCUUCCAGGAAAAGCCUCUAAGCAUCAGGUAACAUCAAAUCGUACCCCAAACCGACACAGGUGGUCAGGUAGAGAAUACCAAGGCGCUUGAGAGAACUCGGGUGAAGGAACUAGGCAAAAUGGUGCCGUAACUUCGGGAGAAGGCACGCUGACACGUAGGUGAAGUGAUUUACUCAUGGAGCUGAAGUCAGUCGAAGAUACCAGCUGGCUGCAACUGUUUAUUAAAAACACAGCACUGUGCAAACACGAAAGUGGACGUAUACGGUGUGACGCCUGCCCGGUGCCGGAAGGUUAAUUGAUGGGGUCAGCGCAAGCGAAGCUCCUGAUCGAAGCCCCGGUAAACGGCGGCCGUAACUAUAACGGUCCUAAGGUAGCGAAAUUCCUUGUCGGGUAAGUUCCGACCUGCACGAAUGGCGUAAUGAUGGCCAGGCUGUCUCCACCCGAGACUCAGUGAAAUUGAACUCGCUGUGAAGAUGCAGUGUACCCGCGGCAAGACGGAAAGACCCCGUGAACCUUUACUAUAGCUUGACACUGAACAUUGAGCCUUGAUGUGUAGGAUAGGUGGGAGGCUUUGAAGUGUGGACGCCAGUCUGCAUGGAGCCGACCUUGAAAUACCACCCUUUAAUGUUUGAUGUUCUAACGUGGACCCGUUACCCGGGUUGCGGACAGUGUCUGGUGGGUAGUUUGACUGGGGCGGUCUCCUCCUAAAGAGUAACGGAGGAGCACGAAGGUUGGCUAAUCCUGGUCGGACAUCAGGAGGUUAGUGCAAUGGCAUAAGCCAGCUUGACUGCGAGCGUGACGGCGCGAGCAGGUGCGAAAGCAGGUCAUAGUGAUCCGGUGGUUCUGAAUGGAAGGGCCAUCGCUCAACGGAUAAAAGGUACUCCGGGGAUAACAGGCUGAUACCGCCCAAGAGUUCAUAUCGACGGCGGUGUUUGGCACCUCGAUGUCGGCUCAUCACAUCCUGGGGCUGAAGUAGGUCCCAAGGGUAUGGCUGUUCGCCAUUUAAAGUGGUACGCGAGCUGGGUUUAGAACGUCGUGAGACAGUUCGGUCCCUAUCUGCCGUGGGCGCUGGAGAACUGAGGGGGGCUGCUCCUAGUACGAGAGGACCGGAGUGGACGCAUCACUGGUGUUCGGGUUGUCAUGCCAAUGGCACUGCCCGGUAGCUAAAUGCGGAAGAGAUAAGUGCUGAAAGCAUCUAAGCACGAAACUUGCCCCGAGAUGAGUUCUCCCUGAGACUUAAAGUCUCCUGAAGGAACGUUGAAGACGACGACGUUGAUAGGCCGGGUGUGUAAG
rnacentral:rRNA from 1 species